rnacentral:rRNA from 1 species
UACGGAGGGGGCUAGCGUUGUUCGGAUUUACUGGGCGUAAAGCGCACGUAGGCGGAUCUUUAAGUCAGAGGUGAAAUCCCAAGGCUCAACCUUGGAACUGCCUUUGAUACUGGGGAUCUUGAGUCCGGGAGAGGUGAGUGGAACUGCGAGUGUAGAGGUGAAAUUCGUAGAUAUUCGCAAGAACACCAGUGGCGAAGGCGGCUCACUGGCCCGGUACUGACGCUGAGGUGCGAAAGCGUGGGGAGCAAACAGGG